rnacentral:miRNA from 1 species
UCAUCAAAGCUGGCUGUGAUAUGA